GCGGCGUGCUUAACACAUGCAAGUCGAACGAUGAUCCCAGCUUGCUGGGGGAUUAGUGGCGAACGGGUGAGUAACACGUGAGUAACCUGCCCUUGACUCUGGGAUAAGCCUGGGAAACUGGGUCUAAUACCGGAUACGACCAUCUGGCGCAUGUCAUGGUGGUGGAAAGCUUUUGUGGUUUUGGAUGGACUCGCGGCCUAUCAGCUUGUUGGUGGGGUAAUGGCCUACCAAGGCGACGACGGGUAGCCGGCCUGAGAGGGUGACCGGCCACACUGGGACUGAGACACGGCCCAGACUCCUACGGGAGGCAGCAGUGGGGAAUAUUGCACAAUGGGCGCAAGCCUGAUGCAGCGACGCCGCGUGAGGGAUGACGGCCUUCGGGUUGUAAACCUCUUUCAGUAGGGAAGAAGCGAAAGUGACGGUACCUGCAGAAGAAGCGCCGGCUAACUACGUGCCAGCAGCCGCGGUAAUACGUAGGGCGCAAGCGUUAUCCGGAAUUAUUGGGCGUAAAGAGCUCGUAGGCGGUUUGUCGCGUCUGCUGUGAAAGACCGGGGCUCAACUCCGGUUCUGCAGUGGGUACGGGCAGACUAGAGUGCAGUAGGGGAGACUGGAAUUCCUGGUGUAGCGGUGAAAUGCGCAGAUAUCAGGAGGAACACCGAUGGCGAAGGCAGGUCUCUGGGCUGUAACUGACGCUGAGGAGCGAAAGCAUGGGGAGCGAACAGGAUUAGAUACCCUGGUAGUCCAUGCCGUAAACGUUGGGCACUAGGUGUGGGGGACAUUCCACGUUUUCCGCGCCGUAGCUAACGCAUUAAGUGCCCCGCCUGGGGAGUACGGCCGCAAGGCUAAAACUCAAAGGAAUUGACGGGGGCCCGCACAAGCGGCGGAGCAUGCGGAUUAAUUCGAUGCAACGCGAAGAACCUUACCAAGGCUUGACAUGAACCGGAAAGACCUGGAAACAGGUGCCCC
rnacentral:rRNA from 1 species